rnacentral:rRNA from 1 species
GACGAACGCUGGUGGCGUGCUUAACACAUGCAAGUCGAACGGGAUUUAGUAAACAGAAGCCUCGGUGGAAGAUUACUAAUGAGAGUGGCGAACGGGUGAGUAACGCGUGAGCAACCUGCCUAUGACAGUGGGAUAGCCUCGGGAAACCGGGAUUAAUACCGCAUAAAAUCGUAGAAACACAUGUUUUAACGGUCAAAGAUUUAUCGGUCAUAGAUGGGCUCGCGUCUGGUUAGCUAGUUGGUGAGAUAACAGCCCACCAAGGCGACGAUCAGUAGCCGGUCUGAGAGGAUGAACGGCCACAUUGGAACUGAGACACGGUCCAAACUCCUACGGGAGGCAGCAGUGGGGAAUAUUGCACAAUGGGGGAAACCCUGAUGCAGCGACGCCGCGUGAACGAAGAAGGUAUUCGUAUCGUAAAGUUCUGUCCUAUGGGAAGAUAAUGACAGUACCAUAGAAGAAAACUCCGGCUAAAUACGU